rnacentral:rRNA from 1 species
UACGGGGGGAGCAAGCGUUGUUCGGAUUUACUGGGCGUAAAGGGCGCGUAGGCGGUCAGCACAAGUCAGUUGUGAAAUCUCCGGGCUUAACUCGGAAAGGUCAACUGAUACUGUGCGACUAGAGUGCGGAAGGGGCAACUGGAAUUCUCGGUGUAGCGGUGAAAUGCGUAGAUAUCAGGAAGAACACCUAUGGCGAAGGCAGCUCUCUGGGACGGUACUGACGCUGAGACGCGAAAGCGUGGGAGCGAACAGG